AACGCGAAGAACCUUACCUGGGUUUGACAUCCUCUGACAGCGGUAGAGAUAUCGUUUUUGUAGCAAUACAACAGAGAGACAGGUGCUGCAUGGCUGUCGUCAGCUCGUGUGGUGACAUGUUGGGUUAAGUCCCGCAACGAGCGCAACCCUUGUCCUUAGUUGCCAGCAUUGAGUUGGGCACUUUAAGGAGACUGCCGUGGUGAACACGGAGGAAGGUGGGGAUGACGUCAAGUCCUCAUGGCCUUUAUAUCCAGGGCGACACACGUGAUACAAUGGACGGUACAGAGGGAAGCGAAGGAGCGAUCUGGAGCCCAUCUCAAAAAGCCGUUCUCAGUUCGGAUUGGAGUCUGCAACUCGACUCCAUGAAGUUGGAAUCGCUAGUAAUCGCGGAUCAGCACGCCGCGGUGAAUCCGUUCCCGGGCCUUGUACACACCGACGCGUA
rnacentral:rRNA from 1 species